GUUGUAAGUAUAUGUUGUAUGUGCAAGCUUUUAUAAUUCAUUUGUUUGUCUGUCUAGCCAAACAACAGAGAGAGAGGACUGCUGUGUAAGACUGAAUCACUUGCUGUCCAGCAAAUGGAAGAUGAUGACUCGUGGAAUUGCAGAUGGAGUUACUCAGAAAUCUACAGGAUAUGACAACAAGGUCACACCUGAGAAUUUAUCACUUGGUGAAAUGGAUCACAAAAGCUUCAAGACUCAGAGCUCCAGAGAAUUUGAGCUUUAAGGAGCAUCAGCAGCUGUUUUCCUUGGCAAAGAUCACUUCAAACAAAGUCAAAGCAUCUUGAUUCAUGACUCCAAAACAGGCAAAACCACUAAGAUUGUGACAAAGAUUAAGACUGUAAACACGUUAAGAGAGAAACAUAUAGUUUAUUGUUUGUGUCCAAACCCUCCCAACCUGCAUGAAAAUUGCAACGUUUUAUAGACACGGGAUGAAUUCAAGACAAUUGGGCCUUAAAGAUAUAUCCUCCUGAGACCCGAGCGUAACUGCUGUGUGCAUUUUCCAUUUACCUUUUUGAUUUGUAACUAGUAGCACUAAAAUUUAAUACACAUGCAAAAACAAAAAUAAAAAAUAAUGAGCAAAUAGUUUUCCUAAAAAUGGAUGGCAACAUACAGUAUGUGGACCGUGAGACUAGGUUGUGAAUUUUUAAAUAAUUCCAAGUUAUAGAAAUUCCUACAUAUUUUUUAUUUUUUUUAAUCAAAUUGUUUAUUAUGUUUCAAGGAGUGUUGCUUAUUCAUGUUGAGACAUUACAGACAUUACAUCAGAAAUUAGCAUAAUUAAUUCUGAUCCAAAGUAUUGGCCAGCAUCAUCCAAUCACUGCCAACCAUGUUAAAAAAAAAAAAAAAUUGCUUGAACAAU